rnacentral:rRNA from 1 species
GAUGAACGCUGGCGGCGUGCCUAAUACAUGCAAGUCGAACGCUGGAGCUCUAGCUUGCUAGAUCGAAGGAGUGGCGAACGGGUGAGUAAUACAUAAGCAACCUACCCACGAAGACUGGGAUAAUCUCUGGAAACGGGGACUAAUACCGGAUAGGUAAUCGGAAGGCAUCUUCUGGUUAUUAAAGGUUAAAAACACUGGUGGAUGGGCUUAUGGCGCAUUAGUUAGUUGGUGAGGUAACGGCCCACCAAGACGAUGAUGCGUAGCCGGCCUGAGAGGGUGAACGGCCACAUUGGGACUGAGACACGGCCCAGACUCCUACGGGAGGCAGCAGUAGGGAAUUUUCGGCAAUGGGGGCAACCCUGACCGAGCAACGCCGCGUGAGUGAAGACGGCCUUCGGGUUGUAAAGCUCUGGUGUAAGGGAAGAACGGUAGAUAGAGAAUAUCUAAGUGACGGUACCUGACCAGAAAGCCACGGCUAACUACGUG